rnacentral:rRNA from 1 species
UACGUAGGGUGCGAGCGUUGUCCGGAAUUAUUGGGCGUAAAGAGCUCGUAGGCGGUUUGUUGCGUCUAUCGUGAAAACCUGCGGCUUAACUGUGGGCUUGCGGUGGAUACGGGCAGACUUGAGUUCGGUAGGGGAGACUGGAAUUCCUGGUGUAGCGGUGAAAUGCGCAGAUAUCAGGAGGAACACCGGUGGCGAAGGCGGGUCUUUGGGCCGAUACUGACGCUGAGGAGCGAAAGCGUGGGGAGCGAACAGG